UUAGAGACUCUCCAGUCAGAAAUGUGUCGC
rnacentral:piRNA from 1 species